CCUACGGGAGGCAGCAGUGGGGAAUAUUGCACAAUGGGCGCAAGCCUGAUGCAGCCAUGCCGCGUGUGUGAAGAAGGCCUUCGGGUUGUAAAGCACUUUCAGCGGGGAGGAAGGCGGUGAGGUUAAUAACCUCAUCGAUUGACGUUACCCGCAGAAGAAGCACCGGCUAACUCCGUGCCAGCAGCCGCGGUAAUACGGAGGGUGCAAGCGUUAAUCGGAAUUACUGGGCGUAAAGCGCACGCAGGCGGUCUGUCAAGUCAGAUGUGAAAUCCCCGGGCUCAACCUGGGAACUGCAUUCGAAACUGGCAGGCUAGAGUCUUGUAGAGGGGGGUAGAAUUCCAGGUGUAGCGGUGAAAUGCGUAGAGAUCUGGAGGAAUACCGGUGGCGAAGGCGGCCCCCUGGACAAAGACUGACGCUCAGGUGCGAAAGCGUGGGGAGCAAACAGGAUUAGAUACCCGUGUAGUC
rnacentral:rRNA from 1 species